AGUCCAUCACAGUGCUGCACUGGUUGAGCAUUAUAAUCUUGAAGCAACUUAGAUUAACUCACAGAUAAGCACAUACCCUCUAUACUUGCUAGUAUGUUUGGCAAGUAAGGACAUUAAAAUUUAAGUGUGCAUGAGUGUUGAGGACAUUCUUGAUUGGCACAUUCAUUCUUUAAAGUUUUUAUCAAUACACAUUUAUGUGGUAUUAGCACUG